GUGAGGUGUAGUCGCGGCAACUAGGAGGUGGGCGUGUGGUACGCGGCGCGCGGGAGGGUGGCUUGAAAGGGUCUUUAUGAACCCUAGGGAAAGGCCGUCUGGUGCACCCACCACUAGAAUUUGAACAUCCUAAGAACAGGUAUUUUUGUCUCUGCUUUGCUGAUGUAUCCUCAGCAACCGGAACUGCCUGACAUCUGAUCCUUUCUGUGAGACACCAGGCUGUUGAGGAAGAAUCUAUGGCAACAUUGUAUCUAUUAAUAUACAGCUUCUGUAUUUAUCAGGCCCAGUUCUGGUGAUGAUUUCACUUUUGACAGAAGCUGUCCCUCAAAAGCAAACAUGCAAUAGAAGAAACAGAUCUCAAUGCCAUCCAUCUGCAGUUGUGACAAGCAAAAAAGUCUCCAGACAUGGCCAAAUGUCCCCUGGGGGGCAAAAUCACCCCCCAGUUGAGAACUACUGCUCUAAACUAUGGAGUCUCACUCUGUCACCCAGGAUGGAGUACAGUGGCGUGAUCUCGGCUCACUGCAAGCUCCGCCUCCUGGGUUCAUGCCAUUCUCCUGCCUUAGCCUCCCGAGUAGCUGGGACUACAGGCGCCCGCCACCACGCCCGGCUAAUUUUUGUAUUUUUAGUAGAGACAGGGUUUCACCGUGUUAGCCAGGAUGGUCUCGAUCUCCUGACCUCGUGAUCCGCCCCCCUCAGCCUCCCAAAGUGCUGGGAUUACAGGCGUGAGUCACUG
rnacentral:antisense_RNA from 1 species